CACGUAGGGCGCAAGCGUUGUCCGGAAUUAUUGGGCGUAAAGAGCUCGUAGGCGGUCUGUUGCGUCCGCUGUGAAAACUCGGGGCUUAACCCCGAGCCUGCAGUCGAUACGGGCAGGCUAGAGUUCGGUAGGGGAGACUGGAAUUCCUGGUGUAGCGGUGAAAUGCGCAGAUAUCAGGAGGAACACCGAUGGCGAAGGCAGGUCUCUGGGCCGAUACUGACGCUGAGGAACGAAAGCGUGGGGAGCGAACAGG
rnacentral:rRNA from 1 species